GAUGAACGCUGGCGGCGUGCCUAAUACAUGCAAGUCGAGCGAACAGAUGAGGAGCUUGCUCCUCUGACGUUAGCGGCGGACGGGUGAGUAACACGUGGAUAACCUACCUAUAAGACUGGGAUAACUUCGGGAAACCGGAGCUAAUCCCGGAUAAUAUAUUGAACCGCAUGGUUCAAUAGUGAAAGACGGUUUUGCUGUCACUUAUAGAUGGAUCCGCGCCGCAUUAGCUAGUUGGUAAGGUAACGGCUUACCAAGGCAACGAUGAGUAGCCGACCUGAGCGGGUGAUCGGCCACACUGGAACUGAGCCACGGACCAGACUCCUACGGGAGGCAGCAGUAGGGAAUCUUCCGCAAUGGGCGAAAGCCUGACGGAGCAACGCCGCGUGAGUGAUGAAGGUCUUCGGAUCGUAAAACUCUGUUAUUAGGGAAGAACAAAUGUGUAAGUAACUAUGCACGUCUUGACGGUACCUAAUCAGAAAGCCACGGCUAACUACGUG
rnacentral:rRNA from 1 species